rnacentral:rRNA from 1 species
UGUGAACUCGAAGAGUAGGGCGGGACACGUGGUAUCCUGUCUGAAUAUGGGGGGACCAUCCUCCAAGGCUAAAUACUCCUGACUGACCGAUAGUGAACCAGUACCGUGAGGGAAAGGCGAAAAGAACCCCGGCGAGGGGAGUGAAAAAGAACCUGAAACCGUGUACGUACAAGCAGUGGGAGCACCUUCGGGUGUGACUGCGUACCUUUUGUAUAAUGGGUCAGCGACUUAUAUUCUGUAGCAAGGUUAACCGUAUAGGGGAGCCGCAGGGAAACCGAGUCUUAACUGGGCGUUAAGUUGCAGGGUAUAGACCCGAAACCCGGUGAUCUAGCCAUGGGCAGGUUGAAGGUUGGGUAACACUAACUGGAGGACCGAACCGACUAAUGUUGAAAAAUUAGCGGAUGACUUGUGGCUGGGGGUGAAAGGCCAAUCAAACCGGGAGAUAGCUGGUUCUCCCCGAAAGCUAUUUAGGUAGCGCCUCGUGAACUCAUCUUCGGGGGUAGAGCACUGUUUCGGCUAGGGGGUCAUCCCGACUUACCAACCCGAUGCAAACUACGAAUACCGAAGAAUGUUAUCACGGGAGACACACGGCGGGUGCUAACGUCCGUCGUGAAGAGGGAAACAACCCAGACCGCCAGCUAAGGUCCCAAAGUCACAGUUAAGUGGGAAACGAUGUGGGAAGGCACAGACAGCCAGGAUGUUGGCUUAGAAGCAGCCAUCAUUUAAAGAAAGCGUAAUAGCUCACUGGUCGAGUCGGCCUGCGCGGAAGAUGUAACGGGGCUAAACUGUGCACCGAAGCUGCGGCAGCGACACUAUGUGUUGUUGGGUAGGGGAGCGUUCUGUAAGCCUGCGAAGGUGGCCUGUGAGGGUUGCUGGAGGUAUCAGAAGUGCGAAUGCUGACAUAAGUAACGAUAAUGCGGGUGAAAAGCCCGCACGCCGGAAGACCAAGGGUUCCUGUCCAACGUUAAUCGGGGCAGGGUGAGUCGACCCCUAAGGCGAGGCCGAAAGGCGUAGUCGAUGGGAAACAGGUUAAUAUUCCUGUACUUGGUGUUACUGCGAAGGGGGGACGGAGAAGGCUAUGUUAGCCGGGCGACGGUUGUCCCGGUUUAAGCAUGUAGGCGGAGGUUCCAGGUAAAUCCGGUACCUUUUUAACGCUGAGGUGUGAUGACGAGGCACUACGGUGCUGAAGUAACAAAUGCCCUGCUUCCAGGAAAAGCCUCUAAGCAUCAGGUAACAUCAAAUCGUACCCCAAACCGACACAGGUGGUCAGGUAGAGAAUACCAAGGCGCUUGAGAGAACUCGGGUGAAGGAACUAGGCAAAAUGGUGCCGUAACUUCGGGAGAAGGCACGCUGAUAUGUAGGUGAAGCCCCUGCGGGUGGAGCUGAAAUCAGUCGAAGAUACCAGCUGGCUGCAACUGUUUAUUAAAAACACAGCACUGUGCAAACACGAAAGUGGACGUAUACGGUGUGACGCCUGCCCGGUGCCGGAAGGUUAAUUGAUGGGGUUAUCCGUAAGGAGAAGCUCUUGAUCGAAGCCCCGGUAAACGGCGGCCGUAACUAUAACGGUCCUAAGGUAGCGAAAUUCCUUGUCGGGUAAGUUCCGACCUGCACGAAUGGCGUAAUGAUGGCCAGGCUGUCUCCACCCGAGACUCAGUGAAAUUGAACUCGCUGUGAAGAUGCAGUGUACCCGCGGCAAGACGGAAAGACCCCGUGAACCUUUACUAUAGCUUGACACUGAACAUUGAGCCUUGAUGUGUAGGAUAGGUGGGAGGCUUUGAAGCGUGGACGCCAGUCUGCGUGGAGCCAACCUUGAAAUACCACCCUUUAAUGUUUGAUGUUCUAACGUUGGCCCCUAAUCGGGGUUGCGGACAGUGUCUGGUGGGUAGUUUGACUGGGGCGGUCUCCUCCCAAAGAGUAACGGAGGAGCACGAAGGUUAGCUAAUCCUGGUCGGACAUCAGGAGGUUAGUGCAAUGGCAUAAGCUAGCUUGACUGCGAGCGUGACGGCGCGAGCAGGUGCGAAAGCAGGUCAUAGUGAUCCGGUGGUUCUGAAUGGAAGGGCCAUCGCUCAACGGAUAAAAGGUACUCCGGGGAUAACAGGCUGAUACCGCCCAAGAGUUCAUAUCGACGGCGGUGUUUGGCACCUCGAUGUCGGCUCAUCACAUCCUGGGGCUGAAGUAGGUCCCAAGGGUAUGGCUGUUCGCCAUUUAAAGUGGUACGCGAGCUGGGUUUAGAACGUCGUGAGACAGUUCGGUCCCUAUCUGCCGUGGGCGCUGGAGAAUUGAGGGGGGCUGCUCCUAGUACGAGAGGACCGGAGUGGACGCAUCACUGGUGUUCGGGUUGUCAUGCCAAUGGCAUUGCCCGGUAGCUAAAUGCGGAAGAGAUAAGUGCUGAAAGCAUCUAAGCACGAAACUUGCCCCGAGAUGAGUUCUCCCUGAGACUUUAAGUCUCCUGAAGGAACGUUAAAGACGAUGACGUUGAUAGGUCGGGUGUGUAAGCGUAGCGAUACGUUGAGCUAACCGAUACUAAUGAACCGUGAGGCUUAACCUU